ACGUAUCUCUGACGGGGUGUGGUGCGCCCUGCUCCGGCCCAACCGGCCGUGCAGCGGGUGAGCCUCCCCUGCUCAACACCCUCACAAACCCACUGUGAACAUUCCCGGCGGAGGGGGACUUGGCCUGUGCCGAGCUCCCCGAUGCCGCAUACCCAAACUCCAGUCACAUAGAAUGUCGUGCGGACACUGUGCCGCCUAAAAACAUGUAA
rnacentral:misc_RNA from 1 species